AAUAGAUACCCGGGUAGUCCACCCCGUAAACGUUGGGAACUAGUUGUGGGGUCCUUUCCACGGAUUCCGUGACGCAGCUAACGCAUUAAGUUCCCCGCCUGGGGAGUACGGCCGCAAGGCUAAAACUCAAAGGAAUUGACGGGGACUCGCACAAGCGGCGGAGCAUGCGGAUUAAUUCGAUGCAACGCGAAGAACCUUACCAAGGCUUGACAUACACCAGAACACCCUAGAAAUAGGGGACUCUUUGGACACUGGUGAACAGGUGGUGCAUGGUUGUCGCCAGCUCGUGUCGUGAGAUGUUGGGUUAAGUCCCGCAACGAGCGCAACCCUCGUUCUAUGUUGCCAGCACGUAAUGGUGGGAACUCAUGGGAUACUGCCGGGGUCAACUCGGAGGAAGGUGGGGAUGACGUCAAAUCAUCAUGCCCCUUAUGUCUUGGGCUUCACGCAUGCUACAAUGGCCGGUACAAAGGGCUGCAAUACCGUGAGGUGGAGCGAAUCCCAAAAAGCCGGUCCCAGUUCGGAUUGAGGUCUGCAACUCGA
rnacentral:rRNA from 1 species